rnacentral:rRNA from 1 species
AUGGUGUGUGGUGGAAAGCUUUUGCGGUGUGGGAUGGGCCCGCGGCCUAUCAGCUUGUUGGUGGGGUAAUGGCCUACCAAGGCGACGACGGGUAGCCGGCCUGAGAGGGUGACCGGCCACACUGGGACUGAGAUACGGCCCAGACUCCUACGGGAGGCAGCAGUGGGGAAUAUUGCACAAUGGGCGCAAGCCUGAUGCAGCGACGCCGCGUGAGGGAUGACGGCCUUCGGGUUGUAAACCUCUUUCAAUAGGGACGAAGCGCAAGUGACGGUACCUAUAGAAGAAGGACCGGCCAACUACGUGCCAGCAGCCGCGGUAAUACCAA